rnacentral:misc_RNA from 1 species
GAUGAAGAACGUAGCGAAAUGCGAUAAGUAAUGUGAAUUGCAGAAUUCAGUGAAUCAUCGAAUCUUUGAACGCACAUUGCGCCCGCCAGUAUUCUGGCGGGCAUGCCUGUUCGAGCGUCAUUUCCACCAUCAGGCCCCCGGGCCUGUGUUGGGGACCUGCGGCUGCCCGCAGGCCCCGAAAUUCAGUGGCGGUCGCGCCGUAGCAACCGAGCGUAGUAACUAAAACGUCUCGCUCUGGCUUGCUGGGCGCGCUCCGGCCGUAAAACACCCCCCCUUUUCGCAAAGGUUGACCUCGGAUCAGGUAGGAAUACCCGCUGAACUUAAGCAUAUCAAUAAGCGGAGGA